GGAUUAGAUACCCUGGUAGUCCACGCCGUAAACGAUGCACACUAGACCGCUGCGGCUCUGACGUCGUGGCGGUCGAAGAGAAAUUGAUAAGUGUGCCGCCUGGGGAGUACGGUCGCAAGGCUAAAACUCAAAGGAAUUGACGGGGGCUCACACAAGCGGUGGAGCAUGUUGCUUAAUUCGAAACAACGCGAAGAACCUUACCUGGGUUUGACAUGCAUGGAUUAGCCUAUGGAAACAUGGGUAACGCCCUCGGGUGGAACAUGCACAGGUGCUGCAUGGCUGUCGUCAGCUCGUGCCG
rnacentral:rRNA from 1 species